UACAGAGGGUGCGAGCGUUAAUCGGAAUUACUGGGCGUAAAGCGUGCGCAGGCGGUUCGCCAAGUCAGGUGUGAAAUCCCCGGGCUUAACCUGGGAACUGCGCUUGUAACUAGCGGGCUAGAGUGCGGCAGAGGGGGGUGGAAUUCCACGUGUAGCAGUGAAAUGCGUAGAGAUGUGGAGGAACACCGAUGGCGAAGGCAGCCCCCUGGGUUAGCACUGACGCUCAGGCGCAAAAGCGUGGGGAGCAAACAGG
rnacentral:rRNA from 1 species